CGGCCGGCGGCACUGGGAGACUGCAGGCCCUGAGUUGGGCAGCGCGCCCAGCGCCGAGGAACUCCCGUAUAGAAGGAGCUGCGGAGCCACAGCUGCCCCACGGGACGCGGAUGAGGUAUGGAGCACUGUGAGGAAGGAGGAGAGCCCCACGGUGCCUCAGUUCCCCCAGCACUGAGCCCGUGCCCACCAGGGGGCUGCAGCCCCACACUUGCCUGCAGCCCCGCAGCUGCCCCUCAGGACGGUGGAUGAGCCCCACAGCUGCCCCAUGGGACGCGGAUGAGCUGCCUCACAAGACACGGAUGAGGUACAGAACACUGAAGAGAAAGAAGGGAGCCCCCUCAGUGCGCCCCAACAAUGAGCCCCUGAGUGCAGCGGGGGGCUGCAGCCCCACACCUGCCCCCCAGCCUGCAACUGCUGCCUGCCUGCAGUCCUGCAGCUGUCCCAUGGGACAUGGAUGCGGUAUGCAGCACUGAGGAGAAGGAGGGGAGCCCCCUCAGUGCCCCCCAGCACUGAGUCUGAGUGCAGCAGGGGGGCGGGCUGCAGCCCCACACCUGCCCCCCAACCCACAGCUGCUGCCUGCCUGCAG
ensembl:lncRNA